UACGGAGGGGGCUAGCGUUGUUCGGAAUUACUGGGCGUAAAGCGCGCGUAGGCGGACCUGCAAGUCGGGGGUGAAAGCCCGAGGCUCAACCUCGGAACUGCCUUCGAUACUGCGGGUCUCGAGUCCGGAAGAGGUGAGUGGAAUUCCGAGUGUAGAGGUGAAAUUCGUAGAUAUUCGGAGGAACACCAGUGGCGAAGGCGGCUCACUGGUCCGGUACUGACGCUGAGGCGCGAAAGCUAGGGGAGCAAACGGG
rnacentral:rRNA from 1 species